GAGUAACCUGCCCUUGACUCUGGGAUAAGCACUGGAAACGGUGUCUAAUACCGGAUACGAACUUCAGCCGCAUGGCUAGGAGUUGGAAAGAAUUUCGGUCAAGGAUGGACUCGCGGCCUAUCAGCUAGUUGGUGAGGUAAUGGCCCACCAAGGCGACGACGGGUAGCCGGCCUGAGAGGGUGACCGGCCACACUGGGACUGAGACACGGCCCAGACUCCUACGGGAGGCAGCAGUGGGGAAUAUUGCACAAUGGGCGCAAGCCUGAUGCAGCAACGCCGCGUGAGGGACGACGGCCUUCGGGUUGUAAACCUCUUUUAGUAGGGAAGAAGCGAAAGUGACGGUACCUGCAGAAAAAGCACCGGCUAACUACGUGCCAGCAGCCGCGGUAAUACGUAGGGUGCAAGCGUUAUCCGGAAUUAUUGGGCGUAAAGAGCUCGUAGGCGGUUUGUCGCGUCUGCUGUGAAAACUGGGGGCUCAACCCCCAGCCUGCAGUGGGUACGGGCAGACUAGAGUGCGGUAGGGGAGAUUGGAAUUCCUGGUGUAGCGGUGGAAUGCGCAGAUAUCAGGAGGAACACCAAUGGCGAAGGCAGAUCUCUGGGCCGUAACUGACGCUGAGGAGCGAAAGCAUGGGGAGCGAACAGGAUUAGAUACCCUGGUAGUCCAUGCCGUAAACGUUGGGAACUAGAUGUAGGGUCCAUUCCACGGAUUCUGUGUCGCAGCUAACGCAUUAAGUUCCCCGCCUGGGGAGUACGGCCGCAAGGCUAAAACUCAAAGGAAUUGAC
rnacentral:rRNA from 1 species